rnacentral:rRNA from 1 species
GAUGAACGCUGGCGGCGUGCCUAAUACAUGCAAGUCGAGCGAACGGACGAGAAGCUUGCUUUUCUGAUGUUAGCGGCGGACGGGUGAGUAACACGUGGAUAACCUACCUAUAAGACUGGGAUAACUUCGGGAAACCGGAGCUAAUACCGGAUAAUAUUUUGAACCGCAUGGUUCAAAAGUGAAAGACGGUCUUGCUGUCACUUAUAGAUGGAUCCGCGCUGCAUUAGCUAGUUGGUAAGGUAACGGCUUACCAAGGCAACGAUGCAUAGCCGACCUGAGAGGGUGAUCGGCCACACUGGAACUGAGACACGGUCCAGACUCCUACGGGAGGCAGCAGUAGGGAAUCUUACGCAAUGGGAGAAAGCCUGACGGAGAAACGCCGCGUGAGUGAUGAAGGUCUUCGGAUCGUAAAACUCUGUUAUUAGGGAAGAACAUAUGUGUAAGUAACUGUGCACAUCUUGACGGUACCUAAUCAGAAAGCCACGGCUAACUACGUG